rnacentral:rRNA from 1 species
UUCCCCAAUGGGCGAGAGCCUGACGGAGCAACGCCGCGUGAGGGAGGAAGGCCUGUGGGUCGUAAACCUCUUUUCUCAGGGAAGAAGUACUGACGGUACCUGAGGAAUCAGCAUCGGCUAACUCCGUGCCAGCAGCCGCGGUAAGACGGAGGAUGCAAGCGUUAUCCGGAAUUAUUGGGCGUAAAGCGUCCGUAGGUGGUAUAGAAAGUCUGUUGUUAAAUCCCACAGCUCAACUGUGGAUCGGCAAUGGAAACUACUAAACUUGAGUGUGGUAGGGGUAGAGGGAAUUCCUAGUGUAGCGGUGAAAUGCGUAGAUAUUAGGAAGAACACCAGUGGCGAAGGCGCUCUACUGGGCCAUAACUGACACUGAUGGACGAAAGCUAGGGGAGCGAAAGGGAUUAGAUACCCCUGUAGUC